AUGUGGGAAAACCACUACUCCUGACAAAGAGGCAUUCAAGCUGGCUCCUUGUGCAUCAGCAGCACAGGAUGAGAAUGCUUCAGUUUCUAGCCAAUGUUGCGCCCAGGUUAAGAAAAUUGAACAGAAUCCAGCCUGCCUAUGCACUGUUAUGCUUCGAACACAGCUAAGAUCUCUGGAAUCGACCCAGAAAUUGCAAUGACAAUUCCCAAACGUUGCAACAUUGCUGAUCGUCCUGUGGGCUACAAGUGUGGAGCUUACACUUUACCCUGAAGAAUGAAUAGCAUGAACAGCGCUCCCCCUGUAAUGUACUUCUACCAACCUGCUGGAGUUCAUAUUCUUGUCGCUAGUUCUUCUAGCUACCAAAUUUAAUGUAACAUCCAGACAUCUGAAUAAUAAAUAAACUGUUGGUGUUUAA